GUCCACUUGGUGAAAUUGGCAGACACGAGGCACUUAAAAUGCCUUGCCGCAAGGUGUACUGGUUCAAGUCCAGUAGUGGACA
rnacentral:tRNA from 1 species